GUCAAUUUUAGGCUUAAGCCAGUCCAAAAGAAGAUCAAGCCCUCCCCAUACUCAAUGUCCAGUUCCGCCACUGGUCUCCAUCGCCAUCAUCACCAUCUCAAUGAGUUAUGUCACAUAUCUCUCUUCUCUUUCUCUCCGGCAAUCACCACCACCACCAACAACACCUCCAUCGAUCCCACCUCAAAUUCCACCACCACCUCAAAAUCCACAAUUCCAUCACCAGAUCCAUCAACAAUUCUCUCUUUCUGUCACAUAUUUGUGAAUCAUAUCCCGUAAUCCGAAUAAAAAUCACCAGAAGCAGCCGUCUAUCUUCUUCUUCUUAGUUGAAGAUUCAGGAACAAAGCUUCGGGAUGAAACUCAAUCUAUAUUUUGCACAGAAGCAAGUGUAUAAGGUUACUUUUCGGAAGUAUUGCAAGGCAUUGCGAUGCUUGGAUAUUUGCUCGGAGAAGCACUACUUCAAUGAAGGCUAGUUUUCUUACUUCUCGGUUGCGAGUGCUGUUUCGUCCUUCAAUACAUUUCAUUUUUAUCCUCGGUUGCUAUAAAAGUAAUUUAACUUUUUAUGCAUCAACAUUACUUACUCUUCUUUACACUAA